rnacentral:rRNA from 1 species
ACACUCCUACGGGAGGCAGCAGUGGGGAAUAUUGGACAAUGGGCGCAAGCCUGAUCCAGCCAUGCCGCGUGAGUGAUGAAGGCCCUAGGGUUGUAAAGCUCUUUCACCGGUGAAGAUAAUGACGGUAACCGGAGAAGAAGCCCCGGCUAACUUCGUGCCAGCAGCCGCGGUAAUACGAAGGGGGCUAGCGUUGUUCGGAUUUACUGGGCGUAAAGCGCACGUAGGCGGACUAUUAAGUCAGGGGUGAAAUCCCGGGGCUCAACCCCGGAACUGCCUUUGAUACUGGUAGUCUUGAGUUCGAGAGAGGUGAGUGGAAUUCCGGGUGUAGAGGUGAAAUUCGUAGAUAUUCGGAGGAACACCAGUGGCGAAGGCGGCUCACUGGCUCGAUACUGACGCUGAGGUGCGAAAGCGUGGGGAGCAAACAGGAUUAGAUACCCCUGUAGUCCCAUGA